rnacentral:rRNA from 1 species
AAGACCUUUGCGCUUUUGGAGCGGCCGAUGYCUGAUUAGCUUGUUGGUAAGGUAAAAGCUUACCAAGGCUUCGAUCAGUAGCUGGUCUGAGAGGACGGCCAGCCACACUGGGACUGAGACACGGCCCAGACUCCUACGGGAGGCAGCAGUGGGGAAUUUUGGACAAUGGGGGCAACCCUGAUCCAGCCAUGCCGCGUGAGUGAAGAAGGCCUUCGGGUUGUAAAGCUCUUUCAGCCGGAACGAAACGGUUACGGUUAAUACCCGUGACUACUGACGGUACCGGAAGAAGAAGCACCGGCUAACUACGUGCCAGCAGCCGCGGUAAUACGUAGGGUGCAAGCGUUAAUCGGAAUUACUGGGCGUAAAGCGUGCGCAGGUGGUUUUGUAAGUCAGAUGUGAAAUCCCCGGGCUUAACCUGGGAACU